rnacentral:rRNA from 1 species
UGGGGAAUAUUGCACAAUGGGCGCAAGCCUGAUGCAGCCAUGCCGCGUGUGUGAAGAAGGCCUUCGGGUUGUAAAGCACUUUCAGUCGUGAGGAAGGCGGUAAUGUUAAUAGCAUUAUCGUUUGACGUUAGCGACAGAAGAAGCACCGGCUAACUCCGUGCCAGCAGCCGCGGUAAUACGGAGGGUGCGAGCGUUAAUCGGAAUUACUGGGCGUAAAGCGCAUGCAGGUGGUUUGUUAAGUCAGAUGUGAAAGCCCGGGGCUCAACCUCGGAAUAGCAUUUGAAACUGGUAGACUAGAGUACUGUAGAGGGGGGUAGAAUUUCAGGUGUAGCGGUGAAAUGCGUAGAGAUCUGAAGGAAUACCGGUGGCGAAGGCGGCCCCCUGGACAGAUACUGACACUCAGAUGCGAAAGCGUGGGGAGCAAACAGG